rnacentral:rRNA from 1 species
AACGAACGCUGGCGGUAUGCCUAACACAUGCAAGUCGAACGAGACCUUCGGGUCUAGUGGCGCAAGGGUGCGUAACGCGUGGGAACCUGCCCUUAGGUUCGGAAUAACUCCCCGAAAGGGGUGCUAAUACCGGAUAAUGUCUUCGGACCAAAGAUUUAUCGCCUUUGGAUGGGCCCGCGUUGGAUUAGCUAGUUGGUAGGGUAAAAGCCUACCAAGGCGACGAUCCAUAGCUGGUCUGAGAGGAUGAUCAGCCACACUGGGACUGAGACACGGCCCAGACUCCUACGGGAGGCAGCAGUGGGGAAUAUUGGACAAUGGGCGAAAGCCUGAUCCAGCAAUGCCGCGUGAGUGAUGAAGGCCUUAGGGUUGUAAAGCUCUUUUACCCGGGAUGAUAAUGACAGUACCGGGAGAAUAAGCUCCGGCUAACUCCGUG